AUGCACAUGGAGGAGGUGAUUGAGAGUAAAGUGAUGGAGGACCGUUCUGCUGAAGGUGAAGAUGGUUUGGUGACGGUCUCAGGUCUGUACACACAAAACCCUUUACAGCGCAGCGUCAGUCAGCUCAUCGUCAAGAAAGACGAGGAAUCAUGGGAGCCGCACUUCAGACGCCUUGACAGCGGCCUGGUGAGAACAUCACUUACUGCUGCUGGACAAUUUUUUUUUUUUUUUUUUUUUGCUGAAAUAUAAUUUUGAUGAUGUGUUGUAUGUUUGUCAGUUUGAAGGUGAGGAGUUUGUGGACACCAUCAAAGGCUUCAGCACAGUCAGGAAGGAACACACCAUGUUCACCGACACCAACCUUUGACCUUCAUCAUGACCUUUGACCUUCAUCAUCAAACAUCAUCUCAGAACUGAGCGGAAAAUGAACUGAACUGUUUUGGUGAAUUCAGAACUGCUCUGGGACUUUAUGGACCCGUGACACCAACAGGAGGAAACUAGAUUAUACAGCAGACAAAAAAAAAAAGUUCACAUUAAUGUGAAACCAUUGAAUUGAAAACAAUAUUUCUAGCAAAUAAGCAUUGUUUAAAGUUGGCUUAGAAAUUUGCAAAUUCUUUGCUGAAACGCACCACUUUUGCUUUUUUAUUUGAAGAAAACAGCGUUGUACUGUUAUGACAAAUGUAAUAUUUUAGCAUUAAGCACAAGAGGCCGAUGUUCCCUCUAAGCUGUGCUUCUUACAUCAUAACCAUGCAGAAGAAAUAAUAUGCUGUGCACAGGACAGAUGUAAAAAUGAGCUGGGAAAUCCAUUUGAUUUAAUUUAGGGAAUGUGAAAUAAUUGCAAUGCUUGGGCAAACUGCUAUAGAGUUGAUGUGGCUAUAGAACCGGUGAAUGCGGUUUACAGGUUUCAUAGAAAGAGAAUGUGCACCAAAUCAGUCACUGUAGAGAUUGAAUACUUUAAUGUUUGUGGGCGAAAUAACAUGAGAGCCAACGUAAAUGCAAUAACGUGAAAUAGAAAUUUCAUUAUGUUUUAAAGAAGAGUUGCUUAAUUAAGUGGUGGAAAUGAUGGGCACACAAAACUGUAACAAAACAUUUACAGUCACACACAGGUGUAGCAGUGUGCAAACUCUGCUACAUGGGGAUGCUUAGUUAACUGUAAAAGAAUUAAGAAAAUAUUUGUUUUAUUAUAUUAUAUUUUAUUACACUAUAUGCGCUGUACAGGUCUUCCCCAAAAAAAAAAAAAAAAAAAUUAAGAGGGAACAUUACAAGAGGCUACGUCAUAAUAAAGAUAUUAAAUAUACAACUUUUCAUUAAAAUAUUGNUUCAGACUAAUGGUAAGACAAUAUCCCCAAGUGUUUAUUACUUUUUUGAAUUUUUCUUUUUGUAAAUUAUUUUUUCUAUUAGAUUUCCAUUACAAUACAUAGCUUUAAAGGCUGUGAGUUUUAUUCUAGUGAAAAUGCAUAUAUAUUUUUUUUUUUAUUAUUAUUAUUGAUUUUCGUAUUUAAAAAGAGAUCCAAAAUGCCCUCUGUAAAAGCCUUUCAUGCGUCAACAAAAUCAACCUGGCUUUAUUCAAUAUUCAGAUUUCUCAUCUAGAAAAGUGUGUAAAUGAGUGCAUUUUUAAAUUAGAUAGUGCCUCAUUUGUAUAUUUAAAAAAUGUCUAUGUACUUUAAUCAACUUGAGAAAUAUGGUGAUAUCCAUUUGUUACAAUUUUUAAAAUGGUGUUGCCUUAAGAAAAAAGAUGAUUCUUAAGAAAAUUAAU
ensembl:lncRNA